rnacentral:rRNA from 1 species
AUUGAACGCUGGCGGCAUGCCUUACACAUGCAAGUCGAACGGCAGCACGGGAGCAAUCCUGGUGGCGAGUGGCGAACGGGUGAGUAAUAUAUCGGAACGUGCCCAGUCGUGGGGAUAACGUAGCGAAAGCUACGCUAAUACCGCAUACUAUCUAUGGAUGAAAGCGGGGGAUCGCAAGACCUCGCGCGAUUGGAGCGGCCGAUAUCAGAUUAGGUAGUUGGUGAGGUAAAGGCUCACCAAGCCGACGAUCUGUAGCUGGUCUGAGAGGACGACCAGCCACACUGGGACUGAGACACGGCCCAGACUCCUACGGGAGGCAGGCAGUGGGAAUUUUGGACAAUGGGCGAAAGCCUGAUCCAGCAAUGCCGCGUGCAGGAAGAAGGCCUUGGU